AAAAGACUUAGUCCUAACCUUACCGUUAAUUCUUGCCCAACACAUACAUGCAAGUAUCCGCGCCCCAGUGCAAAAACCCCCACACUCUUACCAAGACUAAAGGAGCAGGUAUCAGGCGCACCCCGCACCGUAGCCCAAGACACCCCGCCAAGCCACACCCCCACGGGUACUCAGCAGUAGUUAACAUUAAGCAAUAGGCGCAAGCCUGACUUAGUUAGAGCAACUCAGGGUUGGUAAACCUUGUGCCAGCCACCGCGGUCACACAAGAGACCCAAAUUAACCGUACACGGCGUAAAGAGUGGCCCCAGACUAUCCAAGCUAACUAAGACCAAACCAUUAGCCUAAGCCGUCACAAGCUCAAGGCACCCCGAAGCCCAACCUACACACGAUCUUAGAACCCACGAUCCAUCUCACCCCACGAAAGCUAGGGCACAAACUGGGAUUAGAUACCCCACUAUGCCUAGCCCUAAAUCCUGAUAUUUCACUUACACAAAUAUCCGCCCGAGAACUACGAGCACAAACGCUUAAAACUCUAAGGACUUGGCGGUGCCCUAAACCCACCUAGAGGAGCCUGUUCUAUAAUCGAUAAUCCACGAUACACCCGACCACUUCUUGCCAAAACAGCCUACAUACCGCCGUCGCCAGCCCACCUCCAAUGAGAGCACAACAGUGGACCCAAAAACCCACACCCGCUAACAAGACAGGUCAAGGUAUAGCCCAUGAAGUGGAAGAAAUGGGCUACAUUUUCUAAAAUAGAACAACCCCAACGAAAGGAGACCUGAAACCUGUCUCCAGAAGGCGGAUUUAGCAGUAAAGGAAAACAAUCAAGUUCCCUUUAAGCUGGUCCUAGGGCACGUACACACCGCCCGUCACCCUCCUCACAAGCCCACAACAAGAUUAACUAAUACAAAAUCAACCGCUAAAGACGAGGUAAGUCGUAACAAGGUAAGUGUACCGGAAGGUGCACUUAGCAUACC
rnacentral:ncRNA from 1 species